UACGAAGGGGGCUAGCGUUGCUCGGAAUCACUGGGCGUAAAGCGCACGUAGGCGGACUCUUAAGUCAGGGGUGAAAUCCUGGAGCUCAACUCCAGAACUGCCUUUGAUACUGGGAGUCUCGAGUUCGGGAGAGGUGAGUGGAACUGCGAGUGUAGAGGUGAAAUUCGUAGAUAUUCGCAAGAACACCAGUGGCGAAGGCGGCUCACUGGCCCGGUACUGACGCUGAGGCACGAAAGCGUGGGGAGCAAACAGG
rnacentral:rRNA from 1 species